CUGAGUGCGACGGCACAGCAGCUGUCAAGAGGCGUUUAUUUGUCAGGAGGAACCUCUUCAGGACUACAAGAAAGGCGCCUCUCGAAAAGCACGGUCGCUGCACUAUCGUUCGCGCUUACAGGUGAUACAGCCUUAUCUCGACGAUUGAUCACGAAACUGAGCUUACAGUGUUCGCGUGCCCGACCAGCGAGGGACCAUGAAGGUGUCCCUGCUGACACUGAUGCUCCUCGGUGCCUGCUUCUUUUUACCGAGCCACCGAAGCGCACCCACGCACCUUCGCUGGGGCGCACUGAGGAAAUUCCGGGGAGGCGAGUUUCUGAAAACUGAAUGGCUUACCCAGCACCUUGAGCAGAAUCGGGCUACCUCGGCGGCACUGCCUUUGG
rnacentral:lncRNA from 1 species